GCUUACGGCCAUACCACCUUAGGCACGCCCGAUCUCGUCUGAUCUCGGAAGCUAAGCAGGGUCGGGCCUGGUUAGUACUUGGAUGGGUGACCGCCUGGGAAUACCAUGGUGCUGUAAGCA
ensembl:rRNA 5S_rRNA 5S ribosomal RNA